rnacentral:sRNA from 1 species
GCUGGGUGCAGUGGCGCACGCCUGUAAUCCCAGCAGCUCAGGAAGCGAAGGCAGGAGGAUCGCAAGUUCAAAGUCAGCCUCAGCCAUGGGGUGGUGCCAAGCAAUUCAGUGAGACCCCGUCUCUU